UAACUUGGGUCAAAUGUUUCAGGUAGCCUUCCACAAGCUUCCCACAAUACAUUGGGUGAAUUUUGGCCCAUUCCUCCUGACAGAGCUGGUGUAAAUGAGUCAGGGGAUGGAGCUGGAGAGCACCAGGCUGGUGAUCAGGUACCCAGACCACUAGAUACAGGGAACCCAUCCCUCUCCUCAGAGGACCAACCCUAUAGGCCUUAACACCUCAGCCUCCCAGUACGCCUCCACAGGGACCAGGAGGAUGGCUCCCAUCAAUGGUGACGAGUGUUUCUUCUGGAGGACCACCGGCUGUUUCUAUGGUGACAAUUGUCGCUUCAAACACAAGCCGGACCAGAGAGGAAGAGACAGGAAACCAUGUCAACCCUGUCCACCAUGACAACCCUGUCCACCACGCAGUGACUGGAUAUGAGAGAGGGAGGAGAAUGAUGAAGAUUAAGGAAGAGGAUGAGGGACUUUGUCCCUACUUUAAAAGGGAACAGGGGGUUUGGGGGGGUGUCACCCUGUUUGUAGUCCUCUGGCACAGACCACAGAUCCCAGACGGAACACUAGACAUAUAUAAUGAGCGUGUGAAGUGUCAAUCAAAGUGAAGAGGAGUGCAACUCUGAUUUCCCUCUCUCUCGGCCUGAGCUGUAAAACAUGGAAAUUACAUCAUCAUUAGAACCUUGAAGGGAUCUUUGCCCAGUGAACCUCCUCUAUGAUGACCAUGUUGUAAACACUAAGGGGGCUGACAUCUGUUGUAUCAUGUGUUUAACUGUGUAUGCAAGCUCAGCAAAAAAAGAAACGUCCUCUCACUGUCAACUGCGUUUAUUUUCAGCAAACUUAACGUGUAAAUAUUUGUAUGAACAUAACAAGAUUCAACAACAGAGACAUAAACUGAACAAGUUCCACAGUCAUGUGACUAACAGAAAUGGAAUAAUGUGUCCCUGAUCAAAGUGGGGGUGAAGAUCAAAAGUAACAGUCAGUAUCUGGAGUGGCCA